GCCAGGUGAAGAACUGACUGGAAGGAG
rnacentral:piRNA from 1 species